UUAGAUUCCAAUUUAGGUUAGGAAAGUUGUCUAGUAGUAUUAUAAAUAGUGAUGUAUUUCAUUAUUUGGAGACAUUGAAUGAUUAAUUGAUCGAGUUUUACGUGAGAAUUGUUUGUGUGAUAUUAACCCUUUGUCCCAAAACCCCAUCCCCAUCAUUUUUUAUAUCAGAGUCAUAUCUCAAAACCACCUUCUGACACCCCAAUCUCUGUCCCAAAUUCAUUGUCCCACAUCAUCAAUACCCUUGCCUUGAAUACAAAACCAAGUCAUAUAACCACUAUCAAUCUACUCAACCUAUUAACCAAGCCAAGUAUCAUCCCAAACACAUUGUUAAAAGGAUUGAAGAUUCAAUCACAACACUUACUGCAAAUGUUUAGGCUUCUAUUACAGCACUUACAGUAAAGGUUGAUGUACUCACGAAACGUGUAGAUAAGGGACAAGAAGAUGCUCAUAAAAAUUUGGAAGACCACAUCCCGAAUCUUAAUCAUAUGAGACUACAACAACAUGAUUCACGAGUUAAUUGUAAUACCCGCUUCCCGAAUAGGAAAGGGAGGUCACGCACAAAGCACAACAAAUAUCAAAAUUAGUAAACGGAGCACUAAUGACUUCAAAAUAUUAAUAAUGAUAUCCAUCAAUAAAGUACUAAAUACAAUUCUCCAACUAGAGUCAAAAUAAUCAAAACCAAAAAUCGAAUCAACCUAGAUGGUCAAAGGCAACACUCAUCACACUUGCUCUGAAUCACCCCUGCAAAUCUGCCGGAAGAAAAACACAGUAUGAGCCAAUUGCCCAGUACGGAUAUAAAGAUACAAAAGAUAUACAACUGAAAUACGAAAUCAACAGAGACAAAAUAUUGCCUCCGACGAAAAAUAAAAUCUCCAAAUAUCUGAAUAGAAUAUAUCUGAACCAAUAGAAUUAACGAAACAAACAGAAGAGUAAAGAAAUAUUGAACCAAAAUAACUAACUCAAUUAAUUGAAUUGAACAUAACAGAACAAAACUAAUAUAAUGAAAUAAUAGGCUGAAUCUAAUGGCUGGGUGUCAUUUCAUACCGAUUGAGCUCAGAAAUAUACAUUGCCACGCAGGCAAGUCAAAAUAAUGACACAUGC
rnacentral:lncRNA from 1 species